UACAGAGGUCUCAAGCGUUGUUCGGAUUCAUUGGGCGUAAAGGGUGUGUAGGUGGCGCCGUAAGUCGGGUGUGAAAUUUCGGAGCUUAACUCCGAAACUGCAUUCGAUACUGCGGUGCUUGAGGACUGGAGAGGAGACUGGAAUUCAUGGUGUAGCAGUGAAAUGCGUAGAGAUCAUGAGGAAGACCAGUGGCGAAGGCGGGUCUCUGGACAGUUCCUGACACUGAGGCACGAAGGCCCAGGGGAGCAAACGGG
rnacentral:rRNA from 1 species